UAUGUGAUCGUCUCUCGCAUAUCAAUAAGCGGAGGAAAAGAAACUAACAAGGAUUCCCCUAGUAACGGCGAGUGAAGCGGGAAGAGCUCAAAUUUGAAAUCUUAAAGGGUUUCCCUUUACGAAUUGUAGUUUAAAGAAGUGUUUUCUGUUGAGGUUUUGGUAAAAGUUCUUUGGAAUAGGACAUCAUAGAGGGUGAGAAUCCCGUAUUUGACCUUUACUUUCAACUUUGUGAUACACUUUCAAAGAGUCGGAUUGUUUGGGAAUGCAGUCCAAAAUGGGUGGUAAAUUUCAUCUAAAGCUAAAUAUUGGCGAGAGACCGAUAGCGAACAAGUACCGUGAGGGAAAGAUGAAAAGAACUUUGAAAAGAGAGUUAAACAGUACGUGAAAUUGUCAAAAGGGAAGCGUUUGACACCAGUGUUGUUUUUCUGAAAAUCAAUUAAAGAACUGUUUAUGCUAAGUUGUUUAGACUUUAUCAGCUAACUGUUUAGUUUUGAGCUUUUCUUUAAUGCACUUUUCAGUUAACAAGUCAACAUCAAUUUCUUUUGCUGUAAAAAAGCUUGAGGAAGGUGGCUUGAGAUUCGUCUUAAGUGUUUAUAGCCUCUUGCCUAUGCAGUCGGAGAGAUUGAGGUCUGCAACGUAGAUCCUUCGGGGCUAAAUGCAUUUGUGCUAAGUUAUAGCAUUUUAUAGACAACUUGUUGACUAUGAUUUGUCUUGUAGCUUACUCGCUUAUGUUAUUUUACCUACGCUUAGGAUGUUGACACACGCGCGUGCUC
rnacentral:rRNA from 1 species